UGGGGAAUUUUGGACAAUGGGGGCAACCCUGAUCCAGCAAUGCCGCGUGUGUGAAGAAGGCCUUCGGGUUGUAAAGCACUUUUGUCCGGAAAGAAAACGCCGUGGUUAAUACCCGUGGCGGAUGACGGUACCGGAAGAAUAAGCACCGGCUAACUACGUGCCAGCAGCCGCGGUAAUACGUAGGGUGCAAGCGUUAAUCGGAAUUACUGGGCGUAAAGCGUGCGCAGGCGGUCCGCUAAGACAGAUGUGAAAUCCCCGGGCUUAACCUGGGAACUGCAUUUGUGACUGGCGGGCUAGAGUAUGGCAGAGGGGGGUAGAAUUCCACGUGUAGCAGUGAAAAUGCGUAGAGAUGUGGAGGAAUACCGAUGGCGAAGGCAGCCCCCUGGGCCAAUACUGACGCUCAUGCACGAAAGGCGUGGGGGAGCAAAACAGGAUUCAGAUACCCUGGUAGUCCACGCCCUAAACGAUGUCAACUAGUUGUUGGGGAUUCAUUUCCUUAGUAACGUAGCUAACGCGUGAAGUUGACCGCCUGGGGAGUACGGUCG
rnacentral:rRNA from 1 species